AACGCGAAGAACCUUACCUGGGUUUGACAUCCUCGGACCGGUGUGGAGACACACUUUUCGUAGCAAUACGACCGAGAGACAGGUGCUGCAUGGCUGUCGUCAGCUCGUGUGGUGACAUGUUGGGUUAAGUCCCGCAACGAGCGCAACCCCUGUCCUUAGUUGCCAGCAUUCAGUUGGGCACUCUAGGGAGACUGCCGUGGUGAACACGGAGGAAGGUGGGGAUGACGUCAAGUCCUCAUGGCCUUUAUAUCCAGGGCGACACACGUGAUACAAUGGACGGUACAGAGGGAAGCCAAACGGUAACGUGGAGCUAAUCCCAAAAAGCCGUUCUCAGUUCGGAUUGGAGUCUGCAACUCGACUCCAUGAAGUUGGAAUCGCUAGUAAUCGCGGAUCAGCACGCCGCGGUGAAUACGUUCCCGGGCCUUGUACACACCGAGACGUA
rnacentral:rRNA from 1 species